AAUAGAUACCCAGGUAGUCCACGCCGUAAACGAUGAGUGCUAAGUGUUAGGGGGUUUCCGCCCCUUAGUGCUGCAGCUAACGCAUUAAGCACUCCGCCUGGGGAGCACGGUCGCAAGACUGAAACUCAAAGGAAUUGACGGGGGCCCGCACAAGCGGUGGAGCAUGUGGUUUAAUUCGAAGCAACGCGAAGAACCUUACCAGGUCUUGACAUCCCGCUGACCGCUAUGGAGACAUAGCUUUCCCUUCGGGGACAGCGGUGACAGGUGGUGCAUGGUUGUCGUCAGCUCGUGUCGUGAGAUGUUGGGUUAAGUCCCGCAACGAGCGCAACCCUUGUCCUUAGUUGCCAUCAUUCAGUUGGGCACUCUAAGGAGACUGCCGUACAAAUACGGAGGAAGGUGGGGAUGACGUCAAAUCAUCAUGCCCCUCAUAACCUGGGCUACACACGUGCUACAAUGGACGGUACAAACGGUUGCGAAGUCGCGAGACGGAGCCAAUCCGAGAAAGCCGUUCUCAGUUCGGAUUGCAGG
rnacentral:rRNA from 1 species